rnacentral:rRNA from 1 species
AGUGAAUGCUGGCGGUAGGCCUAACACAUGCAAGUCGAACGGCAGCACAGUAAGAGCUUGCUCUUACGGGUGGCGAGUGGCGGACGGGUGAGGAAUACAUCGGAAUCUACUUUUUCGUGGGGGAUAACGUAGGGAAACUUACGCUAAUACCGCAUACGACCUACGGGUGAAAGCAGGGGAUCUUCGGACCUUGCGCGAUUGAAUGAGCCGAUGUCGGAUUAGCUAGUUGGCGGGGUAAAGGCCCACCAAGGCGACGAUCCGUAGCUGGUCUGAGAGGAUGAUCAGCCACACUGGAACUGAGACACGUUCCAGACUCCUACGGGAGGCAGCAGUGGGGAAUAUUGGACAAUGGGCGCAAGCCUGAUCCAGCCAUACCGCGUGGGUGAAGAAGGCCUUCGGGUUGUAAAGCCCUUUUGUUGUGAAAGAAAAGCAGCAGGUUAAUACCCCGCUGUUCUGACGGUACCCAAAGAAUAAGCACCGGCUAACUUCGUG